UAGUGAAUCUUCGGCAAUGGGGGCAACCCUGACCGAGCAACGCCGCGUGAGUGACGAAGGUUUUCGGAUCGUAAAGCUCUGUUGUAAGUAAAGAACGUGUGUGAGAGUGGAAAGUUCACACUGUGACGGUAGCUUACCAGAAAGGGACGGCUAACUACGUGCCAGCAGCCGCGGUAAUACGUAGGGCCCGAGCGUUGUCCGGAUUUAUUGGGCGUAAAGCGAGCGCAGGCGGUUUGAUAAGUCUGAAGUUAAAGGCAGUGGCUGAACCAUAGUUUGCUUGGGAAAGUGUCAAACUUGAGUGCAGAAGGGGAGGGUGGAAUUCCAUGUGUAGCGGUCAAAUGAGUAGAUAUAUGGAGGAACACCGGUGGCGAGAGAGGCGCUCUGGUCUGUAACUGACGCUGAGGCUCGAAAGCGUGGGGAGCGAACAGG
rnacentral:rRNA from 1 species